UGCGUAGGCGGUUGAUUAAGUUGGAUGUGAAAUACCCGGGCUUAACUUGGGGGGUGCAUUCAAAACUGGUUAACUAGAGUACAGGAGAGGGAAGCGGAAUUCCUAGUGUAGCGGUGAAAUGCGUAGAUAUUAGGAGGAACACCGGUGGCGAAGGCGGCUUUCUGGACUGACACUGACGCUGAGGCACGAAAGCGCGGGUAGCAAACA
rnacentral:rRNA from 1 species